rnacentral:misc_RNA from 1 species
AAGAGUAUAGGGGCUUUAUGCCCACUAACUCCACCCUUUGUUUACAUACCAUUGUUGCUUUGGCAGGCCCGUCGCAAGACAACCGGCUUUGGCUGGUCAGUGCCUGCCAGUAGCCUACCACAAAAUACUUUUUUAACCAUGUUAUAUCUGAAAAAUAGUUAAAUAAACUA